GGCCAGGUGGCUCAGUUGGUUAGAGCGUUAGCCUGUACACCAAAAGGUUGCCGGUUCGAUUCCUGUCCUGGUCA